GACGUAGGGAGCGAGCGUUGUCCGGAUUCAUUGGGCGUAAAGAGCGCGCAGGCGGUUUGGUAAGUCGGGUGUGAAAGCCUUGGGCUUAACCCAAGAAAUGCACUCGGUACUGGCAGACUAGAGGACCGGAGAGGAUAGUGGAAUUCCCAGUGUAGUGGUGAAAUACGUAGAGAUUGGGAAGAACACCAGUGGCGAAGGCGGCUAUCUGGACGGUUUCUGACGCUAAGACGCGAAAGCGUGGGGAGCAAACAGG
rnacentral:rRNA from 1 species